rnacentral:rRNA from 1 species
CCUUACACAUGCAAGUCGAACGGCAGCGGGGGAAAGCUUGCUUUCCUGCCGGCGAGUGGCGAACGGGUGAGUAAUACAUCGGAACGUGCCCUGUAGUGGGGGAUAACUAGUCGAAAGAUUAGCUAAUACCGCAUACGACCUGAGGGUGAAAGUGGGGGACCGCAAGGCCUCAUGCUAUAGGAGCGGCCGAUGUCUGAUUAGCUAGUUGGUGGGGUAAAGGCCUACCAAGGCGACGAUCAGUAGCUGGUCUGAGAGGACGAUCAGCCACACUGGGACUGAGACACGGCCCAGACUCCUACGGGAGGCAGCAGUGGGGAAUUUUGGACAAUGGGCGAAAGCCUGAUCCAGCAAUGCCGCGUGUGUGAAGAAGGCCUUCGGGUUGUAAAGCACUUUUGUCCGGAAAGAAAUGGCUCUGGUUAAUACCCGGAGUUGAUGACGGUACCGGAAGAAUAAGGACCGGCUAACUACGUGCCAGCAGCCGCGGUAAUACGUAGGGUCCAAGCGUUAAUCGGAAUUACUGGGCGUAAAGCGUGCGCAGGCGGUUGUGCAAGACCGAUGUGAAAUCCCCGGGCUUAACCUGGGAAUUGCAUUGGUGACUGCACGGCUAGAGUGUGUCAGA